GCCAAAAAUCUAGCCCCAACUUUCUAUAACACCUCACUCAACAUCUAACCUCAACAAACUAAAACAUUCUUACAAUUUAGUACAGGAGAUCAAAAAAUUAUUUGGAGCCACACAAGUCGUACCGUAAGGGAAAGAUGAAAUAAAAAUGAAAAAAACGCUAAAGCAUAUAAAAGCAGAGACUCCCCCUCGUACCUUUUGCAUCAUGGUUUAACUAGUCUAAUCAAGCAAAAUGAAUUUUAGUUUGCCUUCCCGAAACUAAACGAGCUACUUCGAGGCAGCCUCAUGGGCGAACCCAUCUCUGUCGCAAAAGAGUGGGAAGACCUCCAAGUAGGGGUGACAGACCAAACGAGUUUAGUAAUAGCUGGUUAUCCAAUAAAAGGAUAUUAGUCCAACCUAAAGCUCCCUUUAUGCCCCACAACAAGACCCCCGCUUUAGAGUCAUUCAAAUGAGGUACAGCCUAUUUGAAACAGGAUACAACCUACACUAAUGGGUAAUUUUCUACCUACGCAUUGAAGUGGGCCUAAAAGCAGCCAUCUUUUUAAAAGCGUCAAAGCUUACAUGCCACAUUACGUAAUUCCACAACUAACUUAGAACCCUUUACUACCACUGGAUAAUUCUAUAAUCCUAUAGAAUUUAUUAUGUUAAAACUAGUAACAAGAAGCCCGCCCUUCUCUUAAAUGCAAGCAUACAUCAGAAAGGCCCAACCACUGAUUGUUAACAUACUUGUAGACUAAGUAGCAACGCUACAAGAGAACCCUACUUACCCCUAUGUCACCCUAACACUAGAGCAUUCCAAGAAAGAUUAAAAGAAAAAGAAGGAACUCGGCAAAUAUCAGCCUCGCCUGUUUACCAAAAACAUCGCCUCUUGAAAACAUAUAAGAGGUCCAGCCUGCCCAGUGACUCAAUUCAACGGCCGCGGUAUCCUAACCGUGCGAAGGUAGCGUAAUCACUUGUUCUUUAAAUAAGGACUAGUAUGAACGGCAUCACGAAGGCUGUACUGUCUCCUUUUUCUAAUCAGUGAAACUAAUCUUCCCGUGAAGAAGCGGGAAUGAACAUAUAAGACGAGAAGACCCUAUGGAGCUUUAAACAAACUAACACUUGUUACUAAUAAUAGUUAUUCCAGAAAAUUAACAUUAAGUAAACCACUAUGAUUACGAGUUUUCGGUUGGGGUGACCACGGAGUAUAAACCAACCUCCGAGUGGAAUGGGGUUUAACCCUGAGCUAAAAGCCUCGACUUUAAGCACCAACAAAUUGACCUCCAUUGACCCAAUAUUUUGACCAACGAACCAAGUUACCCUAGGGAUAACAGCGCAAUCUACUUCAAGAGCCCCUAUCGACAAGUGGGUUUACGACCUCGAUGUUGGAUCAGGGUGUCCCAGUGGUGCAGCCGCUACUAAUGGUUCGUUUGUUCAACGAUUAAAACCCU
rnacentral:rRNA from 1 species